rnacentral:rRNA from 1 species
CAGACCUCUGAUCACGGAAGACUACCCGCUGAGUUUAAGCAUAUCACUAAGCGGAGGAGAAGAAACUAACCAGGAUUUCCCUAGUAACGGCGAGCGAACCGGAA